rnacentral:ncRNA from 1 species
CAGAAUCAGUGGAGAAAGAAGACCCUGUUGAGCUUGACUCUAGUUUGACAUUGUGAAAAGACAUAGAGGGUGUAGAAUAAGUGGGAGCUCCAGUGCCAUUGAAAUACCACUACCUUUAUUGUCUUUUUACUUAUUCAAUGAGGUGGAGCUGGGAUUAACAGUCCCACCUUUUGGCUUCAAGGUCUUUUACAGACCGAUCUGGGUUGAAGACAUUGUCAGGUGGGGAGUUUGGCUGGGGUGGCACAUCUGUUAAAAGAUAACACAGGUGUCCUAAGGGGGACUUAUCAAGAACAGAAAUCUUGAGUAGAACAAAAGGGUAAAAGUCCCCUUGAUUUUGAUCUUCAGUGUGAAUACAAACUAUGAAAGUGUGGCCUAUCAAUCCUUUAGUCCCUUGCAAUUUGAGGCUAGAGGUGCCAGAAAAGUUACCACAGAGAUAACUGGCUUGUGGCAGCCAAGCAUUCAUAGCAAUGUUGCUUUUUGAUCCUUCGAUGUUGGCUCUUCCUAUCAUACUGAAGCAGAAUUCAGUAAGUGUUAGAUUGUUCACCCACUAAUAGGGAAUGUGAGCUGGGUUUAGACUGUCAUGAGACAGAUUAGUUUUACUCUACUAAUAGAGUGUUAUUGUAAUAGUAAUUGAACUUAGUAUGAGAGGAACCAUUCAUUCAGAUAUUUGGUAUUUGCACCUGUCUGAUCAGACAAUGGUGCAAAGCUAUCAUCUGCUAGAUUAUGGCUGAAUGCCUCUAAGUCAGAAUCCAUGCUAGAAACAAUGAUGUUGGUCCUGCACAUGUGACUUGAGUUAAGAUAGAGCUUUGCUCAUGUACCAAAUCAAGUAGAUUGGGUCACCAUGGUGGAAAUACCAUGGUGGCUUGUUCAUGAAUUGCAAUCAUAAUAUGGGCAGGGGUGAAUCCUUUGCAGAUGACUUGAAUGGGAACAGAGUACUGUAAGUGAUAGAGUAGCCUUGUUGCUACAAUCUGCUGAGGUUAAGCCCUUGUUCUAUAGAUUU